rnacentral:tRNA from 1 species
GGGGUUAUAGCUCAGUUAGAGUGCUUGCCUCACAUGCAUAAGGCCCUGGGUUCAAUCCCCAGCACCACCA